rnacentral:rRNA from 1 species
GAUGAACGCUGGCGGCGUGCCUAAUACAUGCAAGUCGAGCGAACGGACGAGGAGCUUGCUCCUCUGACGUUAGCGGCGGACGGGUGAGUAACACGUGGAUAACCUACCUAUAAGACUGGGAUAACUUCGGGAAACCGGAGCUAAUACCGGAUAAUAUAUUGAACCGCAUGGUUCAAUAGUGAAAGACGGUUUUGCUGUCCCUUAUAGAUGGAUCCGCGCCGCAUUAGCUAGUUGGUAAGGUAACGGCUUACCAAGGCAACGAUGCGUAGCCGACCUGAGAGGGUGAUCGGCCACACUGGAACUGAGACACGGUCCAGACUCCUACGGGAGGCAGCAGUAGGGAAUCUUCCGCAAUGGGCGAAAGCCUGACGGAGCAACGCCGCGUGAGUGAUGAAGGUCUUCGGAUCGUAAAACUCUGUUAUUAGGGAAGAACAAAUGUGUAAGUAACUAUGCACGUCUUGACGGUACCUAAUCAGAAAGCCACGGCUAACUACGUG